GGCUAUGGCCAUACCACCCUGAACAUGCCCAAUCUCAUCUGAUCUCGGAAGCAUAAGCAGGGUUGGCCCUGGUUAUUACUUGGAUGGGAGGCCGCCUUUCUACUGGAAUAGUUU
rnacentral:rRNA from 1 species